rnacentral:rRNA from 1 species
CCUACGGGAGGCAGCAGUGGGGAAUAUUGGACAAUGGGGGCAACCCUGAUCCAGCCAUGCCGCGUGUGUGAAGAAGGCCCUCGGGUUGUAAAGCACUUUCAGUGAGGAAGAACGCCUGGUGGUUAAUACCCAUCAGGAAAGACAUCACUCACAGAAGAAGCACCGGCUAACUCCGUGCCAGCAGCCGCGGUAAUACGGAGGGUGCGAGCGUUAAUCGGAAUUACUGGGCGUAAAGCGCGCGUAGGUGGCUUGAUAAGCCGGUUGUGAAAGCCCCGGGCUCAACCUGGGAACGGCAUCCGGAACUGUCAAGCUAGAGUGCAGGAGAGGAAGGUAGAAUUCCCGGUGUAGCGGUGAAAUGCGUAGAGAACGGGAGGAAUACCAGUGGCGAAGGCGGCCUUCUGGACUGACACUGACACUGAGGUGCGAAAGCGUGGGUAGCAAACAGGAUUAGAUACCCCGGUAGUC